rnacentral:misc_RNA from 1 species
UCUCCGUAGGUGAACCUGCGGAAGGAUCAUUCAUAAUAAGUGUUUUACGGCACUCUUCUAAAUCCCUAUCCACCUUGUUUGCAAUGUCAGGGUUGAGUUUUCUCCCGCGAGGCUCAACCCCAAACAUCAACUAUAUCUAAACUCUUUGUCUGAAAAAUAUUAUGAAUAAAACAGUUCAAAAUACAACUUUCAACAACGGAUCUCUUGGCUCUC